ACUCCUACGGGAGGCAGCAGUGGGGAAUAUUGGACAAUGGGCGCAAGCCUGAUCCAGCAAUACCGCGUGUGUGAAGAAGGCCUGAGGGUUGUAAAGCACUUUCAGUGGGGAGGAAAAAGGGCUGGUUAAUACCUGGCUCCUUGACAUUACCCACAGAAGAAGCACCGGCUAACUCCGUGCCAGCAGCCGCGGUAAUACGGAGGGUGCGAGCGUUAAUCGGAAUUACUGGGCGUAAAGCGUGCGUAGGCGGUGCGUUAAGUUAGAUGUGAAAGCCCUGGGCUUAACCUGGGAACGGCAUUUAAGACUGGCGCGCUAGAGUUGGGUAGAGGGAAGUGGAAUUUCCGGUGUAGCGGUGAAAUGCGUAGAUAUCGGAAGGAACACCAGUGGCGAAGGCGGCUUCCUGGACCCAAACUGACGCUGAGGUACGAAAGCGUGGGUAGCAAACAGGAUUAGAUACCCUGGUAGUCCACGCUGUAAACGAUGUCAACUAGCCGUUGGGUUUCCUUUGGGGAGCUUAGUGGCGCAGCUAACGCGAUAAGU
rnacentral:rRNA from 1 species